rnacentral:lncRNA from 1 species
GCUCUAACGAAUUUGAAUGAGGAGCCUCAGCGCUUUCGGCGCCAUUUUCGAGUGAUGCCUGAUCUCAUCAAUCUAGCGGGAGAGAAGGGAUAACCUGUCCGAGAGUAGCGCGACGCUAGGAUCGCGCCGGAAAAUCCCCCAAAAAUCAUCAAAAAAAUAACUUAGACCAAAGGACAGUCGGUGGGGCUUCGCCAGACCCGGCGCCAUCGUCCUUGAAACGCAGCGUCUCAAGGAAAAGUAGCGUGGAACUUGGUGUUUCCUGCCGACAAGCCUUUGCACCUACGAUUUAACGAUUUUAACCUUUAGAAGAGAGCCAGUUGUGGAAAACAACCAGUUUUUUGAUCGAAUACCCACGUAAUACAUUGGAAUAUGAUAGGAGAUUAAGGAAGCUGCCAGUUCCACAGAAAUGAGAGGAUGGAUGCUAACAUCCCAGACUAUCUCUUGCUCUUGGACCAAUGCUGUAGUCACUGACCUACAUAUUACUAAAAGUAUUCUACUUCUUAGAUGACCGAAAUAAACUGCCUGGUGUCAGAUUCAAGUUUGGACCAACACAGACUCGCUGAAUCAUGUUGAACUGGAUCUCCUUGCCUCACAUGGAUGGCUAGUCUCAUGUUUGUAGGGACCCCCACAAAAGUGUAAGCCAAAUAAACUUUCCUCCACAA